GUUUCCGCAGUGUAAAGGUUUUCACAUCUGCCUUACACGCAGAAGGACCCAGGUUCGAACCCUGGCGGAAACA